CAGGUAUUUGACAUGAACAAAUAACAGGAAUGAAAAAUGUGGUAGAUGCGUAUAUUUGCAAAGAACCUUCUUUCAACAAAUGGCAAUAAGCAUUUAUGGAAAUAUGCCACUCCACCAAUGGCAUUGAAAAUGCUUACAAUGCUGGGUCAGUAGAUACGCACAGUCUUCCCUUGCACAAGCUUUAUGACUUACGAACGGCUUACUAGAAAAAAGCUUUUUCCCACUGCUUG
rnacentral:misc_RNA from 1 species